rnacentral:rRNA from 1 species
GUCGAGAAUCUUUCACAAUGGGGGCAACCCUGAUGGAGCGACGCCGCGUGGAGGAUAAGGUCUUCGGAUUGUAAACUCCUGUCAUGCGUGAACAAGGUUGCUUGGUUAAUACCUGGGCAAAUUGAUGGUAACGCAAGAGGAAGAGACGGCUAACUCUGUGCCAGCAGCCGCGGUAAUACAGAGGUCUCAAGCGUUGUUCGGAAUCACUGGGCGUAAAGGGUGUGUAGGUGGCGUGGUAAGUCAGAUGUGAAAGCCCGGGGCUCAACCUCGGAACUGCAUCCGAUACUGCCAUGCUAGAGUACUGGAGAGGUGACUAGAAUUCUCGGUGUAGCAGUGAAAUGCGUAGAUAUCGAGAGGAAUACCAAAGGCGUAGGCAGGUCACUGGACAGUUACUGACACUGAGGCACGAAGGCCAGGGGAGCGAACGGGAUUAGAUACCCUGGUAGUCC